GACGAACGCUGGCGGCGUGCCUAACACAUGCAAGUCGAACGGAAAGGCCCUGCUUUUGUGGGGUGCUCGAGUGGCGAACGCGGGAGUAACACGUGAGUAACCUGCCCUUGACUUUGGGAUAACUUCAGGAAACUGGGGCUAAUACCGGAUAGGAGCUCCUGCUGCAUGGUGGGGGUUGGAAAGUUUCGGCGGUUGGGGAUGGACUCGCGGCUUAUCAGCUUGUUGGUGGGGUAGUGGUUUACCAAGGCUUUGACGGGUAGGCGGCCUGGGAGGGUGAACGGCCACCUUGGGACUGAGAUACGGCCCAGACUCCUACGUGAGGCAGCAGUGGGGAGUCUUGCACAGUGGGCCGGAGCCUGAUGCAGAGGCGCCGCGUGCGGGAUGCCGGCCUUCGGGUUGUAAACCGCUUUCGCCUGUGACGAAGCGUGAGUGACGGUACUGGGUAAAGAAGCACCGGCUAACUACGUG
rnacentral:rRNA from 1 species